GAUGAACGCUAGCUACAGGCUUAACACAUGCAAGUCGAGGGGAAACGAUAUUGGAAGCUUGCUUCCGAUAGGCGUCGACCGGCGCACGGGUGAGUAACGCGUAUCCAACCUGCCCACACUUGGGGAUAACCUUGCGAAAGUAAGACUAAUACCCGAUGAUAUCCCUAGAAGACAUCUGAAAGGGNUUAAAGAUUUAUCGGUGAUGGAUGGGGAUGCGUCUGAUUAGCUUGUUGGCGGGGUAACGGCCCACCAAGGCAACGAUCAGUAGGGGUUCUGAGAGGAAGGUCCCCCACAUUGGAACUGAGACACGGUCCAAAACUCCUACGGGAGGCAGCAGUGAGGAAUAUUGGUCAAUGGACGAGAGUCUGAACCAGCCAAGUAGCGUGCAGGAUGACGGCCCUAUGGGUUGUAAACUGCUUUUAUAAGGGAAUAAAGUGGGUCACGUGUGACUUUUUUGCAUGUACCUUAUGAAUAAGGACCGGCUAA
rnacentral:rRNA from 1 species